GGUCUCACCUGCCCACUGACUACAUGUUUAACGGCCGCGGUAUUCUAACCGUGCGAAGGUAGCGAAAUCAUUUGUCUUUUAAAUGGGGACCAGUAUGAACGGCACAACGAGGGCUUAGCUGUCUCCUUUUUCAAGUCAAUGAAAUUGAUCUCCCCGUGCAGAAGCGGGGAUAUAAACAUAAGACGAGAAGACCCUAUGGAACUUCAGGCACUAAGACAGACCAUGUUACCUGUCCCCUAAACAAAGGGCCAAACCUAAUGACCCCUGCUCUGAUGCCUUAGGUUGGGGCGACCCCGGGGAAUAAAAACCCCCCGCGUGGAACUGGACCACCUUAUCCCUUAUCCUAAAUCAAGAGCCCCCGCUCUACUGAACAGAAAUUCUGACCUACUCAAUGACCCGGCAACGCCGAUCAACGGACCAAGCUACCCUAGGGAUAACAGCGCAAUCCCCUUCUAGAGCCCUUAUCAACAAGGGGGUUUACGACCUCGAUGUUGGAUCAGGACAUCCUAAUGGUGCAGCCGCUAAUUAAGGGUUCGUUUGUUCAACG
rnacentral:rRNA from 1 species